rnacentral:rRNA from 1 species
AGUGAACGCUGGCGGUAGGCCUAACACAUGCAAGUCGAACGGCAGCACAGUAAGAGCUUGCUCUUACGGGUGGCGAGUGGCGGACGGGUGAGGAAUACAUCGGAAUCUACUUUUUCGUGGGGGAUAACGUAGGGAAACUUACGCUAAUACCGCAUACGACCUACGGGUGAAAGCAGUGGAUCUUCGGACCUUGCGCGAUUGUAUGAGCCGAUGUCGGAUUAGCUAGUUGGCGGGGUAAAGGCCCACCAAGGCGACGAUGCGUAGCUGGUCUGAGAGGAUGAUCAGCCACACUGGAACUGAGACACGGUCCAGACUCCUACGGGAGGCAGCAGUGGGGAAUAUUGGGCAAAGGGCGCAAGCCUGAUCCAGCCAUACCGCGUGGGUGAAGAAGGCCUUCGGGUUGUAAAGCCCUUUUGUUGGGAAAGAAAAGCAGCAGGUUAAUACCCCGCUGUUCUGACGGUACCCAAAGAAUAAGCACCGGCUAACUUCGUG